rnacentral:rRNA from 1 species
AUUGAACGCUGGCGGCAGGCCUAACACAUGCAAGUCGAGCGAGCGUCGGACGGGUGAGUAAUGUAUGGGGACUGCCCGAUAGAGGGGGAUAACUACUGGAAACGGUAGCUAAUACCGCAUACUAUCGGAUAACCCAUAUGGGAUUAGCUAGUAGGUGAGGUAAUGGCGCACCAAGGCGACGAUCCCUAGCUGGUCUGAGAGGAUGAUCCGCAAACUGGGGACUGAGACACGGCCCAGACUCCUACGGAGGCAGCAGUGGGGAAUAUUGCACAAUGGGGGCAAGCCUGAUGCAGCCAUGCCGCGUGUAUGAAGAAGGCCCUAGGGUUGUAAAGUACUUUCAGUCGGGAGGCGUUACCGACAGAAGAAGCACCGGCUAACUCCGUGCCAGCAGCCGCGGUAAUUC